rnacentral:rRNA from 1 species
CAGUCGUACCGGCGGAUAAUCAGCCUUUUGGGUGUGAUUUUGUGGAGCGUGAAGAGUUAAACGCCUUCAUGCCUGCAUAUUCGUGCACUUUGGGUGUACUUGCCCGUAUGGUUGGUUAACAUCAAUUUUGGUGGUCAUAAAAUGACUGGAGGAAUGUAGCUUUGGUCUCGUAUUGAAGUGUUAUAGCCUUCGGUAGAUGUGAUGACUGAGAUUGAGGAUUGCAACGGAUACCCUUCGGGGCUACCUGUCUGAUCUCUGAUCGUUGCUCUGGUGCCGAAGCUUGCUUACGGUUAUCAAAGUCGAUGGUCAAUAGGUUAG